rnacentral:lncRNA from 1 species
UUGUUAUGGAAGAGAAGUGUAUGGAGAUUGAUGGGAAUGAGCAUAGAAAUGAUGGCAUGUCUUGCAGGAAGAGUGAACUCAUCAACAUUGAGCGGAGAGUAGCAGCUUUCUCGAUGGUUAUUUAGGUGCUGUCCAUUUUAUCCCGCGGUCAGUUAAUGCAUUAGAGAUGGAGGUGUCAUGUUGAUUGUACCCAUAACGUGCACUUUAUACCAGCUCUCUUAACUUUUAUCCGUUGCUUUUUAUGAUGACUUUACACAUACUGACUGAGUCUUUUCGUGAGCUUCAUGGUUCAAGUCUGUAUAUAUCCCACCAGAUUCUUCAAUCUGUUCUAGCUUCAUAACGCCCAGAUUAAGCACCUAUUUAUUGCUUUCAGAUAAAUCAAACUGCAAUGACCAGAUUUCUUCUUAUAAUAUCCAUUGAUCCGGCAACAUGAAAUGACGGUAAAGCUUUUCGAAGCAUUAAGAUUUUUCCAGAGAUGAAAUAAGGCUCUUCUGCUAUGGUUAUUCUUCCUUUAUUGCUGAUGGGUGGCUCCGUAUGGCAUAGUUAACAGCAAGCUCCAGUCCACGCUCCCAGUUGCUUUCAACGUGAGAAUAUAUCCCUGGCGAUUUCUUACUCUCUCAGGCAGAGGUGAGAAGGUUGAUAUGUGCCAUGGAUGUAAUUCCCAAAACAGGGGAAUGGCAGCAAAACAAGGCACAAACAGUAGAGAAUGGAAUGAGUUCAUUCAGGCCUCAUAUGAUGUAUCCAACAAUGAGCUCGGGUGCAAGAUCAGUCCAAGAAAGAUUUCAAAAUGAGUUUUAAAACAAAAGCAAAGGUGGGAAUCUCAUGAGAGAUCUCAAAACAGGGUAUAUAAAACCGGUUAGAAAUCAAACAUGAGGCAGAAGCAAGCAAACCUAAAUACAAGAAAAACAAACUGAAAAACCCAACAAACACAUUCGAACACCAAACUAGAGACUCAUGAAUAUCCAGAAGCAAGAUGAAAAAGAUAUUGAACAUAGACCAUACCUGAAAAACCUCCUUACAAGCGAGAACUUGCCUGACUUCAAACUCUGUUUUUAUCACCUCUCUGGAAGAUGUUCAGCUCAAAAACAUCUUUCAAAAGACCACCCUUCGAACCCUCCUCAUAACCGGCAAUGGAAACCUCACUCUCCUUAGCCUCUUGCCCAAGCUAGCCACCCUCUCCAAAAUCCUUCACAAUCGUCAAAUGGAGACCUCCCCAAGCCAGAGGAAUCCCCCUCACCCUCCUUCUCGGUCCGUUUUUCUUUUUUCCAAGAUCCCCCCUGGCACCCUCAAAAGGAUCCUCCUAAAAUCCUCUCCCCUUCAGUCAAAGCUUUUCCCGCAAGCUAUUAACUACUAUACUGUUCACCGCUCAGCAACCUGGAGCCCCAACCACCACCAUGGCUGUGGCCAACUGCUCCACCACGUGUUCCACACAGCUCAUCUCUCCAAGCAGCCAGGUCCCCCC